rnacentral:snoRNA from 1 species
UUGCAGCCCAUUGAGCCCGCUGUGCUCUUUUCCCCAAGGGGGCCUAGUGCACAAGGGCUGCAAACAGCAGCCUCCUUAGGAGUGUCGGAAGCCUGUAGCCUGUGCAGGUUGCCCUAAGGUACCUUGGAGUCAGCC